UAUAAAUACUGAUAUUAAAUAUGUACUCACAUACUACUUAUAGUCUCUGUGUGUAACAGGUGCCUAAAAAGCUUAUAGCAAUAUGUUCAAAUAUUUAAUAAUAUUAUUUUUGGCUUUGGCUAUAAGCCACUAUACCUUUGCUGAACCCGAUGGUACUUGUCCUGAAGAGGACCCUACCGAAGGUCCAGCAAUAUAUCUUGCAGACAAGUCAAACUGUGCCGGAUACUAUGCAUGCGUAGCAGGAAAUCCCAUUCAGAUGUACUGCGCUCAAGGAUCCUAUUGGAAUCCCGAAGACAAUUAUUGUGAGAUUGGCGCUACACAUGCUAAUUGUGGAACAAGACCUACUACUCCUAAGGCUUAAACUGAUCAAUGAUGGUAUACAAUUAUUCAAAACAUUUUAUUAAUCAAUAAAAUUAAAGCUUUUAUUCUUUUGUA